CCUCAUAUUUCUCAGCAGGGCCGACUGUGUCCACAAAUACCUGCAGAGAUGGAGGACAACAUUUGAGGUCGCGGCAAACGACAUCCAAAUAGAGGUUCAAACCCAGGACCGCUUGACUAUGAGGCAGACAUAUCAACCACGAGCACAGACUAUCUACAGUUCUACACAAACAAAAAUCAUCAUUUUCCAAUUCAUUUCUUGUGUUUGUUUCUUUUGGUAAACAAUCUCCCUUUCACUCACAUUUUGAAUGACGUUUUAUGUUCAAGAUUUCUUUCUGUCGUGUCAUGUAUUCCUGAGACGAUAGUUUGUAUUGUGGUCACUGAUGGAGUAGCACACGGGCGUUCAAUCAAGGCCUCGGGACAAGAUCUGGCCUGCCACAUCAAUUUAUGCGGAACACUAAAGAAAAUAAAGGAUAAUUUCUUGCUAAA